CUAGAUGGACCUUUGGUCUGACCUGAUGUGGCCGUUCUUAUGUUCUAAGAGGGAUGAGUAAUGAGACUAGGAACUGGUAAAGGAAUGGGCGAUAUAGAAAACAGAGUGAGGGAGUUGAAGAACGAACCAGUUAGCAAGGAGGAAAGAAUGUCAGAAAUCAACACCUAAGAAAAUGGUGUGUCCAAAAGUUCCAGAGGCGCUAUUGAUGCUCACGCUGCAUUGCCCCCCACUGCUGUUGGGGAAAGGAGGAGUCUUUUGGCUGGACUUUAUCUCCCCCAGACUUGGAGGUGGGAGGGGGCCUCCCUGUGGGUCCAGGAUGGUUGUAGGGGGGAGGCCCAGCUGCAUUUCACCUCCUGCUACUGCUAAUAGUGCUUGCACCAAGAAAGGGAUAGGUGCACAAUAGUGAAAUAGUAUGUCAUUGUAUAAGCCAGUGGGAUGCUUCCAUUGCUCAGUUCUGGUCCCCCAUCUCAGAUGGGAUCUAGCAGAUAUAGUGAGGAGGCCUAGAGAAAGGCAGUGACACUACUUAGAGGCCUGGAGAGCAUGAAAAGAUUAGGACUUUUAGGUUAGAGAUGAGAUAGGGCAUACAUGGGAAACAAAAUAAUGAAUGGGAUAAAGAAAGGAGAUUGGGCACUUGCAUUAACCCUGGCUCAUAAUUCAAGAAAAGGGGACAUUCAGUGACAUUGAAAGGCAGCAGAUUUAAAACUAGUAAGAGGAAAUGCUUUUUCUUAUGUCAGUCUGUGGAACUCACUGCCACUGGAUACAAAGGCCAAGAGCUUAUCUGAUUUCAGAUAAGGAUCAGAUGUUGCUAUGGAUAAUAAGUGAUGAAUACGUUGAUAGAUGCUAUAACAUUCUCUAGCUCACAGAACCUCCCAACAGAUGUGUGUAGGCUGAAACAAGCACUUGCACUAUAACUGCACUCCAUGUAAAAGUAUUUACAUACCUACAGGGCAUGUAGUGCUUUCACACACUGCACUUAUAAUAGCUGUGUUGUCACAGGCUGGUGUGGAUGGAUGCGCAGGCGCAGAGGUGCCGACUCAUUUUAGAAUACAUUUUAGGUAAAGCUGGUGGUGAUACCUAGAGUUAAGGUUGCCUAGCAUACUUCCUAUUAUAAGAUCUUGUUUUCUGUGGCUUCUAACUUUGUCAAAUGUUAACCAUUUGGGCUGAAUUUCUCCAUGCCAGGUGUCUGCCUCAGCUGAAUUUUACUGGAAACUUACAGCAAAAAUGGUUUUUCUCAGGAGGAAAAAUUGGCUGUUUUCCCCAUAUUACAACAAAUUCUUGCAACUGAUUUGUUGAGAAGCUCUAGCACUUCCAUGUUUUGAAGCAGGAACUUGAAAUUUGAAAGGGGGUUUGCCUUGGGGAUAGAGAUGUACCUUUUACUUCCUUGUGGGAAAAACAGCCCACAUUUGGUCAAGGUACAAGCCUAUGAAAAAAAUCUGAGUCUGUGUAUGCCCAAUAGCCUUGUUAGAGCUUUGCAGCUAAAUUCUCUGAAGAUUUUGCUCCAACAGAGAUACUGGGGCUGAUAAGGACUUCUCUGCAAUUGCUGCUGCAGGCUCCAGCAGCACUGGCAUGAGAACUGACAGCUGGAGACUGUGUUCUGUGCCCUCAGUGCAACCGCUGCUGUGCCCAGGCAGCAUGGAGGAGGAGGAACACUGAAAUGCAGAGUGGACAAGAGCUGGAUGGGGAAAGACUGGGAUAAGAACAUGGAUGAGAGAGGAAGACAGUUUGGAAGCUGGGGAGAUAUUAGGACUGGUUGGGCAAGGGGACUGGGAUGCAGAUGGUAAUUUCAGAAGGGAGUCUGAGAUAGGCUCGAAGGAGACUGAACAUAGGAUGUAGGGGUAGAAUUGGGAAGAAGAUCCAGGGGAAGGAGAAGACAGAACAAGAAGUUUAGGGUGGAGACAAGGUUGGCAUAGGAUCAAGCUGGAGGUGGCAAAGGUAGAAGGGGUGUUGUAUUAAUUCAGAUGGAAUAAAUGAGCCAGAGGUGUUGAGAGAGUCCCUGUCCAAUAUUAAACUGUUACAACGAGGUUUGGGGUUUGGUAGACAGACACCACAGCUUGCGUAGUGCUGCAAACACACUAAUAAAGGGUUAACAUGAAUUUUCAUAAAGAUACAGAAAAGAAGGAAAAGCAAUUAAAGGCUUUGAAAUGUAAAGUAUUAAAUAAGGCCUCCAUUUAAACAACAUUUCUUGUUGACUUUCCCUUGAGCUGGAGAGAGAUUUUUAGAAGGAAACCCUCCCUUGUUUUACAGGCUGACAAAGACGUGAGUUGAGAUGUAGCUGCUACUGCUGUUAAAGUCCGAUCCCAUUUCGUGUCAGGUGGUGGCUGGAGUUAGCUGGAGCCAGUAGACGUGGCAAUGUUAUCUGAAUCUUGCUUUCUGGCCCAAUCUGGUCAGAUCAUCUCCUAGAAUUAGGACAAAGAAGAUCUGGAGUGAAAGGAGCCGUUGACACUGACAGCAAUGAUGGUGAAGUUGAUUCAGUCGCCUCCAUCUAUUUUUCUUCUUGCCCCCUCUCCCCACGAAUCUCUUUAAGACCCAAAAAAGGAGUAAUGGGUGGAUAGCCCAUCCCUUUAUUAUUUUGUCCACCAAUUAGGCCUAAUAGCCAAUACAGCCAUUUCGGGUCAUUAAUUUCUGGUUCCACAUCUGUUUUUACCAAGCAUGAUUUUAACAUAGUCCUUGAGUUGUAUCAACUUGACCUUUUUGUUUGCAUUAAUUUAAUGUCUCUGCCUGGUUUUCUUGCACCUGUUUAUAACAUUCAGAACUGAAAGCAACUUGACCUAUUUUCCAAUAACAUUUGUUCUUAUAGAUUAUUGUAUUUGAUAAAUGUUACAGACUUUUUAUAGUUGAGCUUACAAUUAGGAUACAUUUGUCAACCCAAUUAUUACAACAGGGGUCAGGCUUGGGACCAAAGGGGCAGAAGGGCCCGUGACUGUUGGAAUCACUUCCCCAUCAAAACCGGGAAUGGAGUCCAAGAUACCUGAGUCUCAAAAUUCUUCUGCUCUCAGCAAAUGUCUGUGAAAUGCAUAGGCAAGACUGAUAACAUACAAAAAUUCUAUAUUCAACAUUAUCCUACCCGAUAAAAAGGACCUAAUAACAGAAUUAAAAAUUAAUGGUGGCUUAAGUACAAAUGAUCGUGACUUGAUCCCAUUUCUAGUUGGCAAGCAGAACAAAGUCCAAGAGCAAUAAUAUAUUGGGGCUUUAAUAGGGCCAAUUUCACAAAGCUCAGAAUAAUUGAGCCAAAUCAGCUGUGAGGAAAAAUUUACUCAGAAAAAUGUCAAUGAUAAUUGGCAGUCAUUUAAGACCACAUUACUAGCUGCCCAAAAAGCCACAAUUGAGGAAGAAGGCUGUGCUGGUUUAAAAAUAAAUAAAUGCCGGUU